UCUGUGUUCAGCAGUGCACGUAUUGUCUUGAU
rnacentral:piRNA from 1 species